GACGAACCGUGCGAACGUUGUUCGGAUUCACUGGGCUUAAAGGGCGCGUAGGCGGGCGGUCAAGUCAAGGGUGAAAUCUUUCAGCUCAACUGGAAAAGUGCCUUUGAUACUGAUCGUCUUGAGGGAGGUAGGGGCAUGUGGAACUUCCGGUGGAGCGGUGAAAUGCGUAGAUAUCGGAAGGAACGCCGGUGGCGAAAGCGACGUGCUGGACCUCUUCUGACGCUGAGGCGCGAAAGCUAGGGGAGCAAACGGG
rnacentral:rRNA from 1 species